rnacentral:rRNA from 1 species
GCAGUUCGGCUGGGCACUCUAAAGGGACUGCCGGUGUUAAACCGGAGGAAGGUGGGGAGUGACGUCAAGUCCUCAUGGCCUUUAUGACCAGGGCUACACACGUACUACAAUGGCCGAUACAAAGGGCAGCGACACUGCGAGGUGAAGCCAAUCCCGUAAAAUACGGUCUCAGUCGGGAUUGGAGUCUGCAACUCGACUCCAUGAAGUUGGAAUCGCUAGUAAUCGUGGAUCAGCAUGCCACGGUGAAUACGUUCCCGGGCCUU